GCGGGUGAGUAACACGUGGGUAACCUGCCCAUCAGAAGGGGAUAACACUUGGAAACAGGUGCUAAUACCGUAUAACACUAUUUUCCGCAUGGAAGAAAGUUGAAAGGCGCUUUUGCGUCACUGAUGGAUGGACCCGCGGUGCAUUAGCUAGUUGGUGAGGUAACGGCUCACCAAGGCAACGAUGCAUAGCCGACCUGAGAGGGUGAUCGGCCACACUGGGACUGAGACACGGCCCAGACUCCUACGGGAGGCAGCAGUAGGGAAUCUUCGGCAAUGGACGAAAGUCUGACCGAGCAACGCCGCGUGAGUGAAGAAGGUUUUCGGAUCGUAAAACUCUGUUGUUAGAGAAGAACAAGGAUGAGAGUAAAAUGUUCAUCCCUUGACGGUAUCUAACCAGAAAGCCACGGCUAACUACGUGCCAGCAGCCGCGGUAAUACGUAGGUGGCAAGCGUUGUCCGGAUUUAUUGGGCGUAAAGCGAGCGCAGGCGGUUUCUUAAGUCUGAUGUGAAAGCCCCCGGCUCAACCGGGGAGGGUCAUUGGAAACUGGGAGACUUGAGUGCAGAAGAGGAGAGUGGAAUUCCAUGUGUAGCGGUGAAAUGCGUAGAUAUAUGGAGGAACACCAGUGGCGAAGGCGGCUCUCUGGUCUGUAACUGACGCUGAGGCUCGAAAGCGUGGGGAGCGAACAGGAUUAGAUACCCUGGUAGUCCACGCCGUAAACGAUGAGUGCUAAGUGUUGGAGGGUUUCCGCCCUUCAGUGCUGCAGCAAACGCAUUAAGCACUCCGCCUGGGGAGUACGACCGCAAGGUUGAAACUCAAAGGAAUUGACGGGGCCCCCC
rnacentral:rRNA from 1 species